rnacentral:ncRNA from 1 species
UAAUAGUUUUAUUCUUGCUUAAUUACUUAUUUUAAUUUGAUAUUAUAUGUAAAUUUUUAUAUAUAAUAUCAAAUUAAAAUAAGUAUUUAAUAUUUAUUACUGCAAUAAAUAUUAAAUAAUAAAGGGAGUUUUGAUUUAGUUAAUUUUAGUAAUAUUGAUUAAAUAUGUGCCAGCAGUCGCGGUUAUACAUAGAAUGUGAAUAAGUAUUUUCAGUUAUUGUAGUUUAUUUAUUUAUUUUAAUUUAGAUUGAAUAUUUUUAGGUAAAAUUUGAAUUUUCAUUCUUUUAUUUCGGGAAGAAAGAAUGAGGCUAUGAAAUCUAAAUUAUUUAAACUAGGAUUAGAUACCCUAUUAUUUUNGAUAUAAAAUUUUAAUUUUGAGUAGUAUUAGUUAUGAUCUUGAAACUUAAAGAAUUUGGCGGUAUUUUAGUCUAGUUAGAGGAAUCUGUUCCGUUAUCGAUAAUCCGCGUUUGACCUUACUCAAUAUUAUUUAAUAUGUAUAUCGCCGUUUAUUUGAAGAUCUUUUUAGNGUUNAAUUUUCUUUAAAUUAAAAUUGAUUAUAUUUCAGGUCAAGGUGCAGUUGAUAAUUGAGUGGUAAUGGAUUACAAUAUUUAUUAAAUAUACGAAUUAUAAUUUGAAAAUAUUUUAUGAAGGAGGAUUUAAUAGUAAUUAAUAAUAANNAUUAUUUUUGUGAUUUUAGCUCUAGAAUGUGUACACAUCGCCCGUCACUCUCGUUAUUAAGAUGAGAUAAGUCGUAACAAAGUAGGUGUACCGGAAGGUGUAGUUNGAUNNAU